rnacentral:rRNA from 1 species
AUUGAACGCUGGCGGCAGGCCUAACACAUGCAAGUCGAACGAGUGGCGGACGGGAGAGUAAUGAUUGGGAAUAUAGAUUCUGGAGGGGGAUAACUAAGGGAAACUGUAGAUAAUACCGCGUACCACAGGAUGAGCCCAAGUGGGAUUAGGUAGUUGGUGAGGUAAAGGCUCACCAAGCCGACGCUCUCUAGCUGGUCUGAGAGGAUGACCAGCCACACUGGGACUGAGACACGGCCCAGACUCCUACGGGAGGCAGCAGUGGGGAAUAUUGCGCAAUGGGGGCAACCUGACGCAGCCAUGCCGCGUGAAUGAAGAAGGCCUUCGGGUUGUAAAGUUCUUUCGGUAGCGAGGCGUUAACUACAGAAGAAGCACCGGCUAACUCCGUGCCAGCAGCCGCGGUAAUAC